AUUGAACGCUGGCGGCAUGCCUUACACAUGCAAGUCGAACGGCAGCACGGGAGCAAUCCUGGUGGCGAGUGGCGAACGGGUGAGUAAUAUAUCGGAACGUGCCCAGUCGUGGGGAUAACGUAGCGAAAGCUACGCUAAUACCGCAUACGAUCUAUGGAUGAAAGCGGGGGAUCGCAAGACCUCGCGCGAUUGGAGCGGCCGAUAUCAGAUUAGGUAGUUGGUGAGGUAAAGGCUCGCCAAGCCGACGAUCUGUAGCUGGUCUGAGAGGACGACCAGCCACACUGGGACUGAGACACGGCCCAGACUCCUACGGGAGGCAGCAGUGGGGAAUUUUUGGACAAUGGCGGCAAGCCUGAUCCAGCAAUA
rnacentral:rRNA from 1 species